rnacentral:ncRNA from 1 species
UCCAGAAAAUAAACUUUGACACCCUUUGUUCAAUGCACGAAUAUCAAAAAGCUAAGAAAGGAACCAAAACACGAUAAUCGAUAUGUACAAACUCUAAACAAUAAGCAUCAUAACGUGCACCGUUGGGGAGGAGCAAGAGUGUACACGUUGAGACCCGAACGAUGAUGAACUAUGCUUGUGAAGGUUGAAGCCAGAGGAAACUCCGGUUGAGGACCGUAGUGAUUCUGACGUGCGAAAGACUAAUCGAACUAUCUAGUAGCCGGUUCCCUCCGAAGUUUCCCUCAGGAUAACUGGCAUUCUGAGAAAUAAACAGUUAUAUCCGAUAAAGAGAAUGAUUAGAGGCAUUGGAGAGAAAUCAUCCCCAACUUAUUCAAAAACUUUAAGUGGGUGAGAAGCUUAAUUCGUUUAAUUGGAGUUCUACAUUGAAUGUGAGUGCCAAGUGGGUCAUUUUCGGCAAGCAGAACUGGCGCUGUGGGAUGAACCAAACGUUCGGUGAAGGUGCCCAACACGACACUCAUGAGGUACCAUAAAGGGUGUUGGUUAGUCUAGAUAGUAGGACCGCGGCCAUAGACGUCGGAAGCCGCUAAGGAGUGUGUAACAACUCACCUGCAGAAUCAACCAGCCCUAAAAAUGAACGGCGUUCGAGUGUUGAACCUAUACCGGACCGUUGCUGUAAGCUGAGUCUAUACUGUGUGGGGGCAAGCUGCACUUGGUUCAGACAUGGAGUGACGGUAACGACUAGGAGGGUCGAUGAGGCUAGCGGGAUACCUCAGGCGUGAGCAUAGGUGAAGCAACCACAGGCGCAGAUUUUGGUGGUAGCAGCAAAUAUUCAGGUGAGAACCUUGAAGGCCGAGUUGACCAUCGGUCGAGCGGUCCUAAGUGAUCCGGAAAGUU